AUCCGUCUGCCUGCCUGCCUGCCUGCCGGUCUCCUCUUUGCCUCUCUGCUCUCUUCUCCUCCUGAAGUAUCGCUCUGGCCCUUCUUCGUCUCUCUGUCUCUGCUGCCGAUUCUGAGCAUUGACUGCUUCCGUCAGCCUCCGCCUCCGCCUCCGCUCUCUCUCCUUCCCUACUCUCACUCCCAGCGAUCGGUAACCCGCAACCCUAACUUCUCCGCCGGCCCCUGCAGCCGCUUUUCUAUUGCUUUGCCCGAAUCGAAACAGGGACCAACGAGGAGUCAUCUUCUAGCAUCAGCAAGGGAUUGCUGACACCUUGUAAUUGGAGGGGGGGAGUCUACUUCGGUGUUCAAAUGCCAAAUCCUCCAGUCCAUGACCGAGCUUCCACAACAACUGCGAGGCCAUCUACCUUCUCAAUUGCGCCACAUGUUGAGCUGAGCCCCGAGGAGAUGUUCAGACAGAUCAUGGACAGCAUGUCACGACUACAUGAUAAAAUGGACAACAUGCUGCUGAGGCUGACGCACAUUGAGAGGAACAUAGAUAACACUCAGCGAGAGGUGAGCCACUUGAGGACUGCUGUCGAGAGCUUAAAUGGGCAAAGUAAUAACCAGAAUCUGCCAUCUGAUACAUUUCCACGGAGGUCGUGAGCUCAUCGGGGUCCUUUGUUUCUUCUGCGGGUUAGGUUGUUUCUGCAGCUAGGUUUUUCUGUGAGGACCUCUGCAUGUACUUAGCUGCCUCGAAUUAGAUAACUGGUAUUCGAUGCUUCUGUUCGGUAGCUUCCAAUUUGUGUUCUUCUGAUCUCGAACCCGUUUGUUGAGUUGUACAGUGAAAGGGAUGAGAGCCAGCGGAGGACCUUGAUCGGCUGUUGAAACUGUCUCGUUUUAACCUCGCUUAAGUAAUUAGAUUCUUUCUCUUUAACCGUUGAAUGCGGAUUUGUUUAAUAUUACAACUCAAAAGAAGGUUGUUUACUUUAUGACUUGCUCGAGCCUUUGACCGUAAUCAAAGGCGAAAUGUCGACCUUCCUUGGCUGCUGGAAAUAUUGACGUCGCGGAAUUGCCUUUUGAAGGGGUCAAUUCACUGGUUGAGGAAAUGUGUAGGUACGGACUGAAUAUUGGGAAGGCUGGAAGCAUUAUUUGUAUUUUGAGCUUUUUCUUGCUUUGACUUGGUAGUGAAUGGUUUUUAUUCAAAUAACAUCAAUCCUUUCUGAGUUU